rnacentral:lncRNA from 1 species
GAUGUCUGCCCCCUGAACUCUAUCUAGGGAGGAAUAUUAAUAAAACAAUAAAGGACUUCAUGGUGUCUAAUUGUAUAAUUAGGCAAUUGGUAAGAAAUGUGAUAGCUAAAAUUGGUUUCAUCCACUAAAGGAACUAGUGAACAUUUAAAAACACAAACCUUCAGAAAAGAGACUAAUCUUCAUGUCAAAUAGUGUUUGGGGUUAACCCAACAGAAAGGCAAAAUAUACCAAUUUUCGGAUUCUUUUAUUCACGCCUAUACAGAGGGUUAUAAGCAGCUGAGGAAACCGUAAAAUAUAGUGUAAGAAAAAAUGGGAAUAUCAAAGCGAUUAUUUGAAAAGCAGUUUACAUUUGUAAAACUAUUCAAUAUUAUGACCUUGAGCAACUUUUGCUCUUGGAUGCUGGGUUAUCACACUGGUGUUUUGUAUAUCCCUCUGUGGUGUAGCUUUUAUAUGGAGCGCAGGGGUGUGUUUAGAUUGAACGGGUCUUACUGUAUUCCUUUACAGCUGCUCUUAAGUCAUCAAAGUAUCAUCUUGACAUCAAUGGCACUGUUUUUUAAUCAUUGUUUUGAACACAGAAUUAUGGAUAUUCUGAAAUGGAAAUGUCUUAUUUGUCAUUCCAAAUUUUAUUCUCUAUAAUGGACUUUUAAAAUAAAAGGCCUGUGAGUAUACUUUGAGUCCUGGGCUAAUUUUCUAGGCAUCAGAACACAGAAAAGCAGCCUUGAUUAAUUUCAAACUGCAAAAGAGGCAGGUAAAACCGUUUUCAGCGGAAAUUUACUAAUGCAGCAACCCUUUAAAUUAAAUGUUUGUUAACAUAAUAGUGAUGGCAUUUUCUCCUCCUCCUACUUGUGGUUUUGUCCAACUGGAUGUUCCAGUGGCAGUCGCACCGACUGUUAAGUGUUUAAAU